UUGGCAUGUUUGGGAUGCUACAACACCAUUAUGGUACGUUUCUGCGUUUAAUCACUUCCCUCCGUGUUGUUGAAAGGGUAAAAUAAAGGGGCUGCAAGAUCUGCCACCGAUCCAGAUCAGAACCAAGUGCAUGGAUCACAUCUGAUCGGGUCACUGUGCUGCUCUCCAGUCUCAAUCUUCAAAAUGCUUCUGCUGGCUCACGAAGAACUGGACUGGAACAUAACUGAUCCUUUGUUAGUCUGGGGGAGCACCUGGAACUCUCGGAUCACCUGGAACAGGUCCACUCUCUGUUCCCAGAGUUACAAAGAAACAAGGGCAGCCGUGUUCAGACAACAGUGUCCAGGGAAACUAAUGACCACGGAAAAGCUGGUUCCCUUUUCUUUGUAAGAAACUACUUAACCAACAAACUCCAAUACCAGCAGACCUGACAGCUCUACAGCUGAAGCAACUCUUCAAGAAAUAACUCCUGCCAUUUUACUGUUUCCCUGCAAACCUCUGAGUCAUGGUGGAAUGCACCGCUGUUCUCUGAGCACUGGAGAAACCACUCCAUGGAGAGGAAGAACACACCGAUAAAUCUCGAAGACCUGCACAGCACCAGCAGCUGUUGUUUCUGCAUGAAUGUUUUUCUUAAUUAAGUUCUUCUUCAGCACAAAGAUUGAUCUUUCAGAUAACUGUAAGAUUCAGUUAGCAGAUGAACAUACUUUCUUAAGCUACAUUGAUACAACCUUCGGUAACGUAUGUUCAAGCGACCACUUUCAAUGAAAAGUUUAUGUAAACCUGCGUAAAUGCACAUUUCGGGCUUUUCCGUUCUAAAGUCUCGUGUUCAGAUGUAGCUACACAAGUAUCUACGACCGUUUUUGGGCUCUACGUACAAAAUGAACAGCCAUUAAACAUGUGUUGCAAGUAAGACUAGGUUGAACUAAGACUAAUAGACCAAAUCAGGGAUUCGCCAAAUAGACAUACAAAAUACAAAAUUUACCCCAGCUGGGUAAAAAACACAAAACUCGACAACGAAAUGUCGACCCUGCCUACUAUAGGAGGGAGUCAUGAGGUACUUUAAGGUAGUGACAGUCCAGUGUGAACCCCAUGGACCAGAGGUGGGCACUGAGGGCCGCAUUCCUGCAUGUUUUCCAGCAUACCCUGCUCUGGCAUGUUCUA